CUACGGGAGGCAGCAGUGGGGAAUAUUGCACAAUGGGGGAAACCCUGAUGCAGCGAUGCCGCGUGAACGAAGAAGGCUUUCGAGUCGUAAAGUUCUGUUCUUAGGGAAGAAAAUGACGGUACCUAAGGAGAAAGCACCGGCUAAAUACGUGCCAGCAGCCGCGGUAAUACGUAUGGUGCAAGCGUUGUCCGGAAUUACUGGGCGUAAAGGGUUCGUAGGCGGUCAAAUAAGUCAGGAGUGAAAGGCUACGGCUCAACCGUAGUGAGCUUUUGAAACUGUUUGACUUGAGUACUGGAGAGGAAAGUGGAAUUCCUAGUGUAGCGGUGAAAUGCGUAGAUAUUAGGAGGAACACCAGUGGCGAAGGCGGCUUUCUGGACAGUAACUGACGCUGAGGAACGAAAGCGUGGGGAGCAAACAGGAUUAGAUACCCCGGUAGUC
rnacentral:rRNA from 1 species